rnacentral:rRNA from 1 species
UAGAGUUUGAUCCUGGCUCAGGAUGAACGCUGGCGGCGUGCUUCAUACAUGCAAGUCGAACGCUGAAACCCCUUCGGGGGUGAAUGAGUGGCGUACGGGUGAGUAACACGUGAGCAACCUGCCCCGCAGUCUGGAAUAACCCCGGGAAACUGGGGCUAAUACCGGAUACGACUCCGGCGGGCAUCCGCUGGAGUGGAAAGGGCUCCGCAUUCGCGGGGUUCCGCUACGGGAUGGACUCGCGGCCUAUCAGCUUGUUGGCAGGGUAAUGGCCUACCAAGGCGAUGACGGGUAGCCGGCCUGAGAGGGUGUUCGGCCACACUGGGACUGAGACACGGCCCAGACUCCUACGGGAGGCAGCAGUGGGGAAUCUUGCGCAAUGGGCGAAAGCCUGACGCAGCAACGCCGCGUGAGGGACGAAGGCCUUCGGGUUGUAAACCUCUUUCAGUAGGGACGAAGCUUUAUACGUGACGGUACCUACAGAAGAAGCACCGGCUAACUACGUGCCAGCAGCCGCGGUAAUACGUAGGGUGCAAGCGUUGUCCGGAGUUAUUGGGCGUAAAGGGCUCGUAGGCGGCCCGUCACGUCGAUUGUGUAAUCCCGUGGCUCAACCACGGGCAUGCAGUCGAUACGGUCGGGCUAGAGUUCGGUAAGGGAGACUGGAAUUCCUGGUGUAGCGGUGGAAUGCGCAGAUAUCAGGAGGAACACCAGUGGCGAAGGCGGGUCUCUGGGCCGAUACUGACGCUGAGGAGCGAAAGCGUGGGGAGCGAACAGGAUUAGAUACCCUGGUAGUCCACGCUGUAAACGUUGGGCGCUAGGUGUGGAGAACUAUAACGGUUUUCUGUGUCGAAGCUAACGCGUUAAGCGCCCCGCCUGGGGAGUACGGCCCGCAGGCUAAAACUCAAAGGAAUUGACGGGGGCCCGCACAAGCGGCGGAGCAUGUUGCUUAAUUCGAUGCAACGCGAAAAACCUUACCAAGGCUUGACAUGUCGGGAAAACUGGUGGAGACGUCAGGUGCCUUUCGGGGCGUCCGGCACAGGUGGUGCAUGGCCGUUGUCAGCUCGUGUCGUGAGAUGUUGGGUUAAGUCCCGCAACGAGCGUAACCCUUGUCCUGUGUUGCCAGCACGUUAUGGUGGGAACUCACAGGAGACUGCCGGGGUCAACUCGGAGGAAGGUAGGGAUGACUUCAGGUCCUCAUGCUCCUUAAGUCUUGGGCUGCGAACAUGCUACAAUGGCCGGUACAAAGGGCUGCGAAGCCGCGAGGUGGAGCGAAUCCCGUAAAAGCCGGUCUCAGUUCGGAUCGAAGUCUGCAACUCGACUUCGUGAAGUUGGAGUCGCUAGUAAUCGCAGAUCAGCAAUGCUGCGGUGAAUACGUUCUCGGGCCUUGUACACACCGCCCGUCACGUCACGAAAGUCGGUAACACCCGAAGCCAGUGGCCUAACCCGUGUAUGCGGGAGGGAGCUGUCGACGG